CUUCCUGCUGCUAGAAUCGGUUCCUGUUUCCGGUCCAUGCAGAGGACUAUGAUCUAACCUGAGGCAGCAGCAAUCUCACUGCAAGAGGAAAUCAGUCGCAAUGAGACUGUAGAUAACUCACAGCAGGACUCUGCUAUACACUCUGCGUGACUUUCCAAGUCAUCUCUCUUCAGACUCUUCCUGUUCAACCAGUGGAUAAAUCUUACCUAACAUUUUGUAGUAGCUGUAUUUUAAGCAAAAUGGAUGGCAAUAUUGACAGAAACUUCAAAACUAAGUGAUCAAUACUUAAUUAAAUGAAUGAAUUAAAAUAAAUUACAAAUAAUUCUGGUGGUUUGAAAAAGUUAAAUA